rnacentral:rRNA from 1 species
UACGUAGGGGGCGAGCGUUGUCCGGAAUCAUUGGGCGUAAAGCGCGUGUAGGCGGCCCGGUAAGUCCGCUGUGAAAGUCCAGGGCUCAACCCUGGGAUGCCGGUGGAUACUGUCGGGCUCGAGUCCGGAAGAGGCGAGUGGAAUUCCUGGUGUAGCGGUGAAAUGCGCAGAUAUCAGGAGGAACACCAAUGGCGAAGGCAGUUCGCUGGGACGUGACUGACGCUGAGACGCGAAAGCGUGGGGAGCAAACAGG